GUAAACAGUAGUACGGUACUGACCGGUUAAUUCUGGUGAGCGAACUCGGACUCGGAGCGGCGACCAAGAUGGCGUCGGUGUAGCACAAGCAAAUCAGAGCUCACUCCGCUGACCAGUGGCGUCGCCUGCCCUCUUUAGUGAAUGCAGCACAUGCACAACAGGCUGACCAAUCAGAGAGGAGUUGAACGGAGAGAAGAAAAACAUCCUUCGUGUUUUAUUGGCUGACGGCCCUGCUCCGUCCCGCCCCCCACUUGCCAUGUUUAGUUUUACUCCUGAACUUCUCCGACGGCCCGACUUCCAACAACAAACGGACACCUGACGGUUUUUGAGAAAAAGAAGCGGGAAAACUCUUCUGUUGGGGUUGCUGCAGCGGCAGGAAGACUGUCUGAACACAUGACACGGAUGACUGAGAUAGGACAGAGAAUGAAGAGAGGAGAGCAGCAGAAGGAUGGAGGAGUGAACAUGAGUCCAAUGAGGGACUCAACAACAGACUUGAACACCUUUAGAGGGAGAAUGUUUAGUGUAAGAGAAUGUCCAUGACGUUUUCUACGCCAUCUUUCCUCUGCUGGAGAUUCGGCGACUGAUCCAUCCUGGUGAAGAAAUGCACUUGUAUGCACUAAACGGAUGCUCUCUUCAUCACAUUCAACAGCAUCUUCACGCCUUCAAAGAAGCCUGGAACCAUCAUGGACUGAGAACAGCAAACAAACGUUCACCUGCAACUCGUUACAGCUUUGAGUUGUUGUGAAUACAUUGUCAUUCAUUCAAGGUCAAAUAAAAAAACAGAAUAUGA